GAUGAACGCUGGCGGCGUGCCUAAUACAUGCAAGUCGAGCGAACAGAUGAGGAGCUUGCUCCUCUGACGUUAGCGGCGGACGGGUGAGUAACACGUGGAUAACCUACCUAUAAGACUGGGAUAACUUCGGGAAACCGGAGCUAAUACCGGAUAAUAUAUUGAACCGCAUGGUUCAAUAGUGAAAUACGGUUUUGCUGUCACUUAUAGAUGGAUCCGCGCCGCAUUAGCUAGUUGGUAAGGUAACGGCUUACCAAGGCAACGAUGCGUAGCCGACCUGAGAGGGUGAUCGGCCACACUGGAACUGAGACACGGUCCAGACUCCUACGGGAGGCAGCAGUAGGGAAUCUUCCGCAAAGGGCGAAAGCCUGACGGAGCAACGCCGCGUGAGUGAUGAAGGUCUUCGGAUCGUAAAACUCUGUUAUUAGGGAAGAACAAAUGUGUAAGUAACUAUGCACGUCUUGACGGUACCUAAUCAGAAAGCCACGGCUAACUACGUG
rnacentral:rRNA from 1 species